AUGCGGCUCGUGACAACCGGACGCGACGGACAUGGAGAACGCGGGGAUUUUUCCGGUUUCUUCCCGCGGCCAACGAAACGGCAGCCGAGCUCCUGACCCGUCCGGGCC
rnacentral:sRNA from 1 species